CUUAUUUCAAACUCCUCCUCUAAUCAAAACUCUCAUUGCAUAGAGUUUUACUUCAAGUGAGACUCCUUCUUCAAUUCCAACUUUUGUCUCCUUGGUGUUGUAGUCAAAUUUCAAUUCAUUAAAUCAGCACAUUAAUUUAUCAGAAUCUUUCUCCUCCCACACAUCAGACUCUUCAAGGUAUACUCAGAAAUGAAACUCCUUCUUUACGUAGGACUCCUUUUUCAACUCAACUUAUUUUUCCUUAUCAUCAAGUGUUUGAAUCAAAUUUAACUUGUUCUACUCCCCAUGUGAUCAGUAAGUUGAAGUUUUCAGUUGCAUUGAAUUAACUCAUAUCAACUUGUUUCACUCAUAUUAUCAUUCAUCAAAACUUCAAGGUUCCAACAAAUUCCCCCUUUUUGAUGAUAACAAAUCUCUUGUCUUUGUGCAUCCAAAUAUUUUCACCUGUAGGCACUAAAGUAUAAAACACUAAAAUGAAACAAGUUAGUCAAUGGGUUAUAAAUAUUACACAACCCUCUUAUCUUCCCCAUUUUGGCAUCAUCGAAAAAUCCUAGCCAAAGUGAUUUGUUAUGCUAUUCAUGGCCACUAGGGCUAUCACCAAAACAAUCAGACAAAGACUCUAGCCAACCUAGUAAUGUAUUAAAGAGAGCAAAAAUAUGAGUCAAUUUAGCAAAGAUAGCCAUUCCAUUUAACUGACAGAGCAUGUUCCACAUUAAACCUAAGCUAGUACUGAACAAAGCAAAAUAAUUGAGCAUUAAAAAAAUACGAUAUAAAAGUGGGACAUGACUAAGGAUACAAAUAGUGAGGAGUUGAUGAGGAAGGUGGAACAUGUGAUAUCAACUGUGUCAAUUGAUGAAUGACUUCAACAUUUUUGUCCCUCUAUCAAUCAAGGUCAAGCUUCAAAGUCAUGAUCCUAGCCAUAAAGACCUCUUAUUCCACUUCAUGACUGUCUUAUGCUGCUUCUAGUUCUAGUUCAGAAUUUUUUUUCUCAAAUGCGUCUUAGCCCUCCUUAUUGAAACAAGUAGAGCAACAUGAUUCAUCUGUUCAAGAACAUCUAUUUUUUAUAUAAGUCAAACCUGAUUUAGGACUGAGAAGCCCCAAAAAAUUACCAAUUAGGAACUAAAAGGGAAAGCAUGUCCCUUUUCAUUCUUCAGAAAUAUAUGCUGCAUAUGAUUGAUGAUCAAGCUUGGCAAAUCCAUGGUACACAACUGAUAUUUUGGUUGAGAAAAAAGAAGGAAUUUCUGAUAUAGAAUUAACACACUUGUGCAUACCCAUUUGGAGAGAAUCAAAGAAAGUUUGGUCAAUAAUUCAUUAGCUUUAUUAGACAAUGAGAGGAUGAAGUGUGUGGAAUUAAACAGGUGUUUUCAACUGCUUCAACUUAGACAAUAUAUGCUUAUGUCAGUGUAGAACAUACCUGAUAAGAACUUUGUGGUCAUAAUUGCUUACUUGUUCCUAUUUUUAUGCACAAUCUAAUACAAAAUUAGGUUAGAAAAGUCAAAAAUCUGGAAUUGGGACACACAACUAAAUGUGCAAGACUAAAUAUAAUAACUUUUUAGCUAAUAAGAUUAAAAGAAAAAUAAUUAUUCUAGUCAAUCAUUGAGGGGAGUUCAUGCAAUUUUAAUCAUCCCCAAGUCUAACCUAUUCCUUUCAAUAUGCUCUCUACUUAAUGACUUUGGUGCUUCUCCAGUCAACUAAGUAACCCACAUAGUCAAUAUUUUUGUAGCCUCCAAGAAUGAAAUUGCUUUCCUUUGGAUAUCAUAGUCUCAAGCCAUUGAUUCCCAUGAGAUAUUUCAAGAUUCUUUUGACAACACCAAUUUUUAUGAACUACUAACAAAAUUACCUGCAACUUGUGUUGGUUUUAUUGAUGCAUCCAUUUAUUCAUUUGUUGUUUACCCUGUCAAUAUGCCCUCAGUCUGUACAACAGUUGAACUAGGUGGUACAACAUGAUCCUGUGCAUGCUCAUCAGUUUCACAGUCAUUCUUUUUUCUCAUUUUUUUAAAAAUCUCCCUUGCUUCCACCUUACACGAGCACUACAAAUCUGACCAUCUUUCAAAUGAUCCAUUCCCCCUUUAAAUGUGGUGAGUGAAAGAAACUUUAUUUUCUUCUAGUCUUAUACCUUGAGCAAGCUUUAUUUAUGCACAAAUUUUGUUUGUCUCCUUUCACUCUCACCUACAAAACAAAUUAGGGGUUAACUUUAGGCACCCAGACAAGCUUGGGUCCUUUCUUAUGAGUAAAUGGAUGAAUCAGAUUUCUUCUAACCCAUGCAGAAAACAGGUUACGUGACCCAUUUCUCUAACCAAUUUUAGUUAUACUUUUCUUGGUCUGAGAUAGUUU
rnacentral:lncRNA from 1 species